CUCUCUUUCCCUAAGGUGUUUGAAGCCACAUGGCAUUUCUCUCAAUCUGCUUUAGCUUUAGUGUAUCAUAUCAGUAUCUUUUACAGCGUCAAACAUUUAACCGCAGAAAAAGCCCUUUGUGAACCCACUGAAUCUGAGAAGCACAGAAAUUCUCGAGCACGUGCGCAUUUACAGGAUCGUCUUUUAUCGUCAAGCAGCGGAGAUGUGCUAACAGCAAUUCUGGUGGCACAAGGCACUUGUCAUUUGGAUCCUCUCUCUUUAAUCGUGGUAUCGUACGUACCUGGGGAAUUCAGCACAAAACUGCCUGUCACCGGGCUGCAUCUUUAACCGUUUCAAGGGACUAAUGCAACACGCUACAUUGAUUCUUCAUGGUUUUCUUGAGGGUUUAUUUCAUAACAGGACUACAUUUAGUCAUCUACCUUGGGGAAUAGUCACAAAGCUAAGAUUUUCUGCAUUUACAGCUAUUUUCAGUUUCUUAAUCUUUGUCAAAUGUACAGGACUGAUGCCACUCACACGUGUUGUGGUGCCAGCACCUCUGGAGUCUGGCAGAAAAGCAAACAGUCUGACAGGUUCGGAGGGUAUUUCUUGGGCUGGACUUUGCUUGGGGGUUGCUGGGCUUGAGAAAUGAGACAGGUUUAUAGCAGAUGGCUGAAUUUAAUAACUAAAUAAUGGAAUUGGAAAUGAUACUUUGCUAGAAAAUUGGAAUAUAUAUGAAAUGACCUCAACCCAAGAACAGCGAAAGGCUGUAUAUUGUAACCAGAAGGAGUAAAGCAUUGCAGAUUUUUAGCGCUGUUAUUCUAACAUUAAAAGGAGACACAUAACAUUUUGCUAACCUAUUUGGGUAAUUUUCUUUUGAUUACAGAACAGGUAUGGAACAGAGAAAUCUUAGUUUAUAGACUGGCCCCAGCAAACAAAUCCUUUACAUGCCCAGUGAGACAUAAUCACUACAGAGCCCAAAACAAGCACAAGCAAUAAAUAAUACCUGUUAAUAAACUGAAAUCACAAUUCUACCUUGUAAAACUAUGACAAAUAUCUCUUGGACACAUACUCAGGCCUUUUUAAAAAUAAAUAGAAAUUAAAGCAGCCAUUUAAAGAUGAAAAGCUGCCGGGAAUACAGGCGUAUGUGAGUAUUUUGUACUCUGAUGGCUGUCACAGAGGAACUCAGCCGAAAGGUUGGGCAGAGCUGCGGUAUUUGGGCAGAGUUUUUCCUUCCUUUGUACAGCUCUUACAGCUGUGCUGCCUCUCCAGAGACAUCUGGACAGUGCUCUGGAUCUCCAAAAAACCAGGCUCUAAAAUGAAGCACUGUUUAUAUUAAAUUCCUCCUGGCAGGCCUGGAUGGAUGCAAAGUCACAACCUGUCACCCUACACACAAACUAUUUUCAUUUGUUGGAUGCUAACAUUUACUCAUAGCUGAUGGCAAUAAAAAGCCCCUUGAAAUACUGGCUAUUUUACACUGGUUUUAUAAAGAUUCAAUGUAUGUCUCUGUUAACUAACUAUUACAACAGAACAAUAACUUUUGAACUGUUCAGUUGCACAAUGUUUAAACAAGGCAUUAAGUAUUUGCACAACUCUGUUACUGUUUUAACUAAGGUGGGGACAAAUGAGUGAAUUCUUAUGCUAGAUUCCAAAGCAUUGUCUCACUAACCGUCUUUCUCGCGAGGUGACGUGUUUGAAAGGACGCAGCAGAAGUAACAGUUGAGAGGAAACACAUUUUCUGUGUCUUGCUCGCUACAUCCUCCCAUUUGUCCCCUUAUUUUUGGUGACCGCUGUUCUCUCUGUCCUUUGCAGGAACCGUUUCCAGGGUCUGCUCUGCGCAGGAGCCGUGGACAGGAGAUUUGGGUCCUUGGCUCCUUUGGUGAAAACCAAAAGGGGCAAAACACUGGGGGAAGCCGGGGGCUGGUCCUACGCUCUCACUCCUGAACUGACAGAAAAGUCCUGGCUGACCUUGCUUGGAAAGGUGAACGUAAGAACAAUAGCGGGGGAGCGAACGCUGCGCGUAUUUGAAGCACAAUCAUGGGAAAUGCUGAUGACCUCUUGUUGCCUCCGAGUCCUUUUCCUCCCCCUGGCAAAACCUCUGGCUUGUCUCUACUGGCUCUUGGUUCCAUGAGCCUCUACGAUAAGGUAUUUGCAUACAAGGCAUGCAGUAUAUACAAUGAAAGGAUGCACAAAGGCCACUAAAUCAUCCUCUCCAUCUCCCCCGUGUUGUUGGAAGAAGGUGAGUCCUGUAGGUCUCCUUAGAAACAAAGUCUCUUAACAUAAGGUAAAAUUUUCCACACUAACAAAGUUCGAAUGAGCUCUAAUUGAAAGUCUGGCCUAGGGGUAACGUUCACGUUAACCCACAUUUAUUCAGUAUUGAUGACCCCUGUGUACAGCGACCGUGAUGUGCCCACAGUGCCAGGAAACGUUAGUGCAAUAUUUCAGUUAGUCACCCAUAUAACUUGUAUUUAUUCACUUGUCAUUUAUGUGGGAGAACAUGAAUCUACUUGAUUUUUUUUCUAAUGCUAUGAAUAAUAUUUAUGAAGUUGUUUGUACUUCAAAACCACAAGGUGGUAAACUCCGAGAUAUAAAAAUGCAAAGAAUUGUAAUCUCUAAGGAAUGAAAAUGUGAAAUCAAGUGUUGAGCAAGAUGCUUCUAAAGGUAACAAUAUAUUUUCUGAACUCUAUUACAAGUGAUUUUCUUGCUGUGCAGAAUAAUUUUUCAUUCACUCUUUGAAGGAAAGUAGAAAAGAAAACUAUGCAUUUCGUCCCCUUCUCCAGCCCCUUAUUUAACAGAUGCUUAUGCAGAAUAUCUUGUCUUUAUUUGAUUUUUGAUCAUCAGUUUGCGGAAUUUUUUCCUCCCCUUUCCAGGUGGAUAAACUGCUUGUUUUUGAUUAUUUGCCAAUGAGGAAAGAAUGAUGGGCUUUGGUGUUUGGUUGGUUUGGUUUUUUGUUUGCUGUGGGGUUUUUUUGGUGGUUGUUUUUUUAACUUCCCUCCCCUGCUUUUUCUUCUAAAUGAGCAUUUUUGUGAUUUCCCCCCUCCAUGGUGUCACUUUCUUGGGGUCACGAAACAGAGCAAAGCCUCAUACCCUCAGUGAUAAAGCUGGACAUGUGGAGUCAACUCCCAGUUAUUGGAAUGAUACCAAUUUUGCAUUUCUUGGUUUUAUUUUGAAAGGUCUCAAUCCAGUAACAAUGUUUAACAUAACAAUAUUCUAUACCUGUAGUUGACAUGGUUAUGUUAAAGAAACUAAUAGGUGAAACGACAUCACGCUGCUUUUAUUUGCUGUGCCUUGUGGACAAUCAUGCAAGAUCGGUGGAUUUUGAGAAUAUCUGCUUAUGCUGUGCCACCUGCUGCAAGUGUUGCAGCUGGAAUAAGAAUUCAUGUAAAUGCUGGAGCAAGGGAGCAAAGGGGAAGUGACCAUAAAUCAGGAGACCAAAAAUUGAUGGCAGGGUGUCUCCUGGAAUAACAAUUGCUGGAUGAUAAGAGUGCGUAAAGCCGGCAACAGUUAUCAGGGUGUGUCCUGGUUUUGUUAAAAACAAGUUUCUCUCUCAGUGAAUUUGCCUGUCAGCUAAAGCCUUCAUAUUAACUGCAUUUUCCUGGAGCACCAGACACAUGUUUUGGUAAACCUAGCAAUGGAAUGCAAACUUAUUGAUAAGCACAGAUGGACAUCUCGCGAGAGGGGCGACGAGAAACAAGUGACCAAGAAACUGACCAACUGUGUAUAACAUCCCAUUCACGUGAAUACUUCAUAUAAAAGUGCGAGAUCACGAGGAUCUCGUUGGCUUUUCCCUUUUGCCCUUUUCCCUUCUGCUUAUGGCCGACAUUAGGAGAGGACCUUGCUAGUCGUCCCUGCGAACUGAGGCCUAGUGACAGACUGAAUCCAGCUCCGAUUGGCUGCAGAGUCCAGUCCAGGACUUUGGGUGCCGGCUCUGCAGUUGCUGAGACUUUCAAGAUUGGUUUUGUAUAUUUUGUAUUAUUUUCUCUAUUCUUAUUAGUAGCACUAGUAAAACAUCUUUAAUUUUUUCCAACUCUCUUCACUCUGUCCUUCUUUUCCUCCCAAUCGCCUCUCCUUAGUGGAAAAGGGGGGAGAGGGAGGGGGAAGUGGCGGGGGGGGGAAGAGGGGGUUAACAAUACAUCUGCCAGGGUUUUAUUGUCACCCCGCAAUCUUAACCCUCGACAGGGUGUUGUCGGGAAAGGGCUCGUGCUCCGCAGCAUGUACCGAGAUAAAUGCGACCUCAAGCAGGAGGUUGCACAGUGGAAGAGGCUCUUCAAAUAAAUACACUUAUAGGUCAAAAGUGGAAAGCGGUUGCUGAGAUCCAGGGCUUAGGAGAGACGGUGAGAAGCGAGUUGCACAAAGGUGAGAGGAUUUAAUUGCAAGGAAGGAUCAGAUGUAUCAGCAAAGGAGUUAAUCACAGAGCUCAGGAAACAGCGGUGCCAGCGAGUAAAGCUGUUUGCUUGGAAAGUUCUGCUCAACUCUGGGCUGCAGACUCGAGAGAGAAGGAAAGACAAACAACCCACCUUACCCAGGUCCUGGAAGCCCUCCAGAAAAACUCAACAGCUUGAGGGCGGAGGAAAUGCCUGAUGAGGAGCUGCUGGAUGCCCAUUAAAUAUUCAGCCUUGAGGGGAGAGAAAAAGGAGUUUGAUAGGAGAUCUGCUUUUGGAAUACAAGGAACUAACGGAGAUUUAAUAUAGAGCUAAGUGGGGACACCACAAGGCUUCAUGCUGCAGUUAGAAAGGUUCUUGUUGGACACUUUAAUUGCUGGGUGGUAUAACAUACACCAAUUUAAGAACAGAACGGUAUGUAAGUAAGUUCCAGUAAGAACCAUCUCGGAACUUCCGCUUCACCCAUUUUCUUAUGUUCAAAGAAGGUAUUUGCAUACAAGGCAUGCAGUAUAUACAAUGAAAGGAUGCACAAAGGCCACUAAAUCAUUCUCUCCACCUCCCCCGUGUUGUUGGUGUGUGUGGUGAACUAUGCGCGUUAUAUAUUUCCAGGGCUAUUGAGGGCAGACCGCACGGCUCGCGCUGGAGUCAUGGGCAUCAGCGUGUUCCUCCCGUCCCUCUCUGCGUUUCUAUGGGCUUUCAUUUGAAAAGAAUGGAAAGUUUGGUGACACCGAGCACCUUCCCAGCGCUGUCACUUGGGCUGCAGCCAGAGAGAGGGACACGAAGCCCGUGUCGAGGGUGUGAACUUCCGCCGUUCCCAGGGCUGCCGCACCAACCGUCGAGCGUUUUACUCAAAAUCAAAGCUUCCUGCCGAAAUUGCUGGGCUUAGUUAUAAAGCACUUCACGGCCAUCACACUGAAAAUAGAAAUAGAGUUUUUAAAAGUUUAAAUAUGAGAAUGCAUCUUUCCAGUUGUUGAAGGUUAGAUUGCGGGGUGACAAUAAAA